CCAGGCGUGGCCCUCAGCAAAGAGGCUGCACUUGGUCAUUCCAACAAGGCCCUAAAUUCCUCCUCUGCCUUUCACUGAAAAUAUCUUUUCUCCUCUGACAGUGGAGGGGUUGGAUGUCAUCUGGAAUGAGCCCCUUCCCAGGCUGCUUCUGAUUUCCCUCCUCCCUUCUCCAUCUUCAGGAGGCCUCCCCAUCUCCUGGGAAGAAUGCACAUCUGUCCCGUACUGACUUUAAGGAAAAGGCCUUCCCUGAAGUCUCAUCUCCCUUUGCACCUUGACCAACAUUGGGAAAUGCAGAGGUCCAGAGCAUGGGAAGAGGAUGGCAAGGUCCCCAAGCAGCCACAGCAGAAUGUUCUAUCUGGGAGCUGGAGUGUUCUGAGGCUCAAGGAAAGAAAGGGAGACGUGAGGGUGGCUAUGUCUGGGCUGCUCCUCAUCUCCCUUGCUUGACUCUGCGGCCCACCACCAGCCUGACACGUAGGAGACAGUAUGUGUUUGCUGAGUGAAUGGAUAAAUGAAUGAAUGCUCCUCGCCUGAGUCAGGUGGAAGAAUUUCUAGGACUCCGCUGAGCCAUCAGGGACCCCUGUGUCAUCCACUGCAGCUCAUCCUGCAGGAAAUGCAGCUAUGGAGUCUCUUCUAGUAGGUAUGUGAGAAGG
rnacentral:lncRNA from 1 species